UACGUAGGGUGCAAGCGUUAAUCGGAAUUAUUGGGCGUAAAGCGCGCGCAGGCGGUCCUUUAAGUCUGAUGUGAAAGCCCACGGCUCAACCGUGGAGGGUCAUUGGAAACUGGGGGACUUGAGUACAGAAGAGGAAAGCGGAAUUCCAAGUGUAGCGGUGAAAUGCGUAGAGAUUUGGAGGAACACCAGUGGCGAAGGCGGCUUUCUGGUCUGUAACUGACGCUGAGGCGCGAAAGCGUGGGGAGCAAACAGGG
rnacentral:rRNA from 1 species